AAUGAGUCACGACACGGCUGGUCUGCGGCUGUGUACAUUAAUUUCUCAUAAGACUGUUUGGCCUUCAAAUUGCAUUUACACAUUUAUUGAAUCAUUAUUUCCCCUAUUGAAUCUCACCUCAUCAAUUGAUGAUCUCUUUCAAGCUGUCAUUAUAAGAUGGCUUGAUAUAUUUGUGUUACUGUUUGCUAAUUGAAGAGUUAAAUCUGCACACACAUGAAUGUGUUAUCUGAUAAAAUUUAGCUCAAGUGAACCCCUGUCUUGACUGUGUAUCCUCUCACGAGGCUCCACCACCGGUCCACCGCGACGACGUAGCUGCCGAAGCUUCUGUUGGAGCCAUAAUACAGUGUUUGUGAUGUUGAUACUGUUGACUGUUGAGUUUGUCUCUUCUAUAAAAUACUUUGCAGCCUUUACUUUUAACACUUGGACUCAUGUCUCCUUUGUGAUUAAGCAAGUGAAGAAUUCUUUUU
rnacentral:lncRNA from 1 species